rnacentral:rRNA from 1 species
UACGUAGGGUGCAAGCGUUGUCCGGAAUUAUUGGGCGUAAAGAGCGUGUAGGCGGCCCGAUUAGUCCGCUGUGAAAGUCCAGGGCUCAACCCUGGAAUGCCGGUGGAUACUGUCGGGCUAGAGUGCGGAAGGGGCAAUCAGAAUUCUUGGUGUAGCGGUGAAAUGCGUAGAUAUCAAGAGGAAUACCUGAGGUGAAGACGGGUUGCUAGGCCGACACUGACGCUGAAGCGCGAAAGCCAGGGGAGCAAACGGG